GCCCCUCUAAUAUACCCUUUAAAUAAGAAAAUAUUUAAGGAACAUCUUGUAUGUGCCAGGCACUAUGGCAGGUAUUUUAUAAUAUUAUCUCAAAUCCUUACAGCAAUUCCUCAAGGCAGAUACACUGCAUUCUGUACAUUUGAACAAAUUGAGACUUGGAGAGGUUGUAACUUGGUCAAGAUCACGCAAGUAGCAAGUAGAAAAACUAAGAUUUAUAUACAAGUUUUUUAGGCUUCCAAGCACACUCCCAUUUCAUUAGGGUCCACCACCAAAAUACAGGUUUAUUGAAACAAAGGUGGAAGUUCCAACACUUAACCCCACAGCUGCCUGACCACCCCAUUGCCCUCCUCCUCCUCCAUUUUACAACCCAUGUUCCUUUCUUACCCCCAGCUGCUCUACAGCCAAUGGAGAGAAAGACAGCAUCACCCUGAUCUCCAUGAAGAAUAUCAACAUGAAUAACAGCAAAGGAUGCCCCACAGCAGAGAAGGUUCUUUAGAAGCAAUGUUGGGUCCCCAUGGGUCAAAGGAUGACGCAGCUGCCCUAUGUCUGUAAAGAGGAAGGCGAUGGAAGUGGUAGAGGCACGAACCACAUAUAAAUUAUUUUAUUAUUUCACACUUACUCCAAGAUCUAAAAGGACACUGGCAUUCCUCCAGAUCUAGGAGCAAGCUGCCAGUAUGAGAGACUCUUUCCCAUAUGGGCAGCCACUCUGGAAACACAGCCUGCUCCUCCCACCUGCUCACCGUCACAGGAAGGGGGAGUCUGGAGAGCAAGAGCAAGGAAAAUGACAAAGUGGAGUGGCCUUUGCUACUUUGCAUUAAAAUUAUUUUCUGGCCGACGGUCUAAUUUCUUUUAA